rnacentral:rRNA from 1 species
UACAGAGGGUGCAAGCGUUAAUCGGAAUUAUGGCGUAAAGCGUGCGUAGACGGUUAUGUAAGUCGGGUGUGAAAGCCCCGGGCUCAACCUGGGAAUUGCAUUCGAGACUGUGUAGCUAGGGUACGGAAGAGGGAAGCGGAAUUUCAGGUGUAGCGGUGAAAUGCGUAGAUAUCUGAAGGAACACCAGUGGCGAAAGCGGCUUCCUGGUCCAGUACCGACGUUCAGGCACGAAAGCGUGGGGAGCAAACAGG